CUGCGAAUAUUGACUAUGAAGCUUUGAGAAGCUUUACCCGGGAUGACCUGAAGGAUCUCUUUCCAGGCCAUGAAAAUUUCUUCCGGAGAAAGAAGCUUUGGAAUUUCAUAAUCCAACAGUGGAAAGGAAAAGGACUGUAAGAUGUCGAAGGAGCUCUGUUGCAGACUUAUAAGGAACACAGUCACCAGCAUGGUUGCAAUCCUCCGUGCUAGUCCCAUGGGGAAAGAAGUAGGAUACCCCUCCAAACUUGAAAUGAGAGCAAUGUCACAGAAGAUUGUCGACUAUUACCCUAUGUUAUGUGAUGCUGACACACACAUGCCAUAUGUGACCAUCUACACCAAACUGUACAAACGACUCCAAAAUAUGAAGUCUCCAAGGAGGAAACAGGGUUCCAUGCUGCAGCGAGGCAGGCCCAGGAAGAUUAUUUUCAGCUCAGACAACUUAGACAAUGGAACUGAAGGUGACUUAAGUGGCGAAGCAAGUGGUUCAAGUGACUAUACCAUACUUGACCUCAGCAAGGACAACUCAAAUGCAGAGAAGGCAUCAAAAUUCCAUCUACACUCUACUGUACCAACACAGUCAAACAAUAAUACCCUGGCUUCACCACUAUUAUCUAAGUCAGCCUCAUGCUCUGCACCCAGGGCUGCCAUAGGUCCACCAACUCCAGAUGACGAUGUUGCAGACCAUGACAGCCUGAAGAUGCAGCCAAGACAUUACAAAACCUUGAGCAACAUGUACAGGAAACCAAAUGCAAAACCCAACCAAAGUGACGUUGCUCAAAUUUUGGACCUGGAGUUUGAGGCCAGACAAGCUUUUAUUGAUGCAGAUGUUACAAGGGAAGAAGACAGGCCCACAAAAAUAUUUGAAGCAUACCUGUGCUUCAAAGAUAUUCGAAAUGCAAUGGAUGAACUGUGUCGCAUCGUUGGUGGUUCCAACUGCAAAUGCAUAGAUCAAAUGAAGGGUAGAUGGACAGAGUUUUGUUCGAAAGUGCAGUUCUAUGGCAUUUGGAAGAAGGUCCUGAAACCUCCUCUCCCCUUGGAUGUACGUGGAGUGGAGUUUACUGUCACUCUCUUCAAUGCACUUCCAUCUCUUUUUCCUUCACCAACUACACCACCAAAGCGGCUGGGAAGUGCCAGUGAGGCUCUCCUUCAUAUCCUCCAGCCGGGUGAAGAUGCUAUGCUAUACCUGGAGAAGCGGCCUCUCUCCUCCCCAGUGCUGCUUUUUGAUGGGACAACCAGCAUUGUUGCUGUAGGAAACAUACCAGUGACCACUCUGCCCUUGGAGGAUUUCUGGGAAGGAAUGUUGGUGUUGAUGGCAUAUUACUACACCUUGCACUUAACAUACCCGAAAUGUGUUGCAACGGUCCUCUCUGUCGUACAAACUGAGGUAAUCACUGAUGCCAUCCAUGAUCAAGAUGCCACUUGUGCAUAUAAGAAAGCAAUAGCUAAGUGGAAGUCAUUCUUUGAAAAAUAGGUGAAUACCAAGCAGAAUUUUAUCAGGUCAUUUGCAGUUUGUUUAGCUUUGUAGUGCGUUUGUACAACUUUGUUCCUAAUUUGCCUAGCAAUGUCCUGAGAAACUGCUUUACUUAUGCCUUACAAAUGAAAGUUGUUGUUUUUUUUUCUCUUAAUGACACUCUGAGGCAUAUAAAGUUUUAAAUUAGUAAUGCCGUUAUUUACAACAUUGUGAGAUUAUGUGACUGUCACAAAAGUUUAGGGCCAAAAAUGUAAUUUCUUUUCUCUGUUUAGGCCUUCUAAAGGGUUGAUUUAGAUUUUAGAGAUUGUGCAGCAGCCCUAUAUUGUUUACAAAAAGGGUUUUGUUCUCAUGAGAGGAAUAAAUGUUGACAUAUAUCACUCUUGUCCUGGCUGUGAUUUCAGUAGAAGCCAAGGAAUAUUCUAGGAAAAAGGUCUGUUUUAAGGUUUUUGUGCUUGGAUUUAAUAUGGAUUAGGCUCUAUUUUAAGAUAAGCCAACCUGAAUCAAGAAACAAAUUAAUCAUACUUCACUAAUACUGAGUAGAUUUUCAUAGUAUUAGAACUAUUUUUCUCGUUGCAUUGCAUUCAUUUGCUGCAAGUAAGAAUUCAAAACAUAAAAAAGACUGUAAUUUAGCAUAUUUAACUUACUUUUGGGACUUGAUACGAAGUAAUUUUAUCUAAAAUUGAGUUUUUUAAAGCUUAUUUUAACCCUCUACAAUUCUCAAAUGUGUUCUUUUAUUUCUGGAUUAAAAAAUCUUAUUUCAAGAUUUCUUAAUAAGUAAAAUUAACUUGCUGCAUGGACAGAUAAUUUCACUUGUUUUCAGUGCUUUUUGUAUCAAAUGUAGUAUUUGUUUCCUAAAUGUAGACUACCCAUUUUUGCAGUGCACAGGGCGCGCCGCACAUUUUGAAGAAAAUCUAAGACUUUUAUGUGCGCUUUAUAGUCGUGAA
rnacentral:lncRNA from 1 species